rnacentral:tRNA from 1 species
GGGGGCGUAACUCAGUUGGUAGAGUGUCACACUGGCAGUGUGGAAGUCGUGAGUUCGAGUCUCAUCGUCUCCACCA